rnacentral:rRNA from 1 species
CAGCAGCCGCGGGAAUACGUAGGGUGCAAGCGUUGUCCGGAAUUAUUGGGCGUAAAGAGCUCGUAGGCGGUUUGUCGCGUCUGCUGUGAAAUCCCGAGGCUCAACCUCGGGCUUGCAGUGGGUACGGGCAGACUAGAGUGCGGUAGGGGAGAUUGGAAUUCCUGGUGUAGCGGUGGAAUGCGCAGAUAUCAGGAGGAACACCGAUGGCGAAGGCAGAUCUCUGGGCCGUAACUGACGCUGAGGAGCGAAAGCGUGGGGAGCGAACAGGAUUAGAUACCCCUGUAGUCCCUGUCUCUUAUAA